AUCAUCGUUCUGAUGUUUCCUCUCUGAUGACUUUUAGAAAUCUCCACCCUCAGACGUGUCGAGUGAAACGAAAUGACAACCCGCCCCUCCUGCCGGGUGCGGCCCACCCCCUCGGCCUACGGGGGCAUGGUAUCAUGAGUUCUGUAGGACGGAGGCGUGUGCCGAGCAAACCGACACGCCGCGUCUGACGGGCCAAAUGCACUCAGACCUCCUAUCGGGUUAUGAAUGGAAUGAAUUCUGCAGGCAGACGGAGCACGCCGCCGCUCAGAGAACCCCCCCCCGAAGGCGCCGGCGCUCAGAGGAAACUGCACCGAGGCGUGUGCGGGGCCUCCACUCAGACGCUCACAGAGGAGAUGUGAAAGCUGAAGGAGCGUGGCUUUAUGAAGGACGGCAGGAGAACAUGUGUCAUAGAACAAACGCAGCGGGACGCCGGCCAGAAUAAACUCUCAGGUGUCCACGCCGCUUUGAAAUGUCCUGUAACCAACAUGCUGUGGAGCUGAAGGUCAUAAAAGAUGAAUGAAGGUGAUGGAGGCCCGGAGCCAAAGGUGACGGCUGCUCAGGUGUCACCUGCUGGCAGACACCAGGAGCUCAGCAGCUGAAGAAGCAUCAGAUCACCGCCGCGUUCAUCAGAUCACCGCCGCGUUCAUCAGAUCACCGCCGCGUUCAUCAGAUCACCGCCGCGUUCAUCAGAUCACCGCCGCGUUCAUCAGAUCACCACAUUCAGCUCCGAACCCGGACGAGACCCCGGAAUGGAACUGUAUCAAAAAGCAUCAAUGAGAAAACUCAGAAGAAACAGCAACUCUCUGCUGCAGCAUCUGAUUUACCGAGGAGUUCACGGAGGAGGCAGGGACACUCCAAUUCCAGCUCAGCCGAGAGACGCUAAUAUGAUCCAGUCCAUCGCCAGCCUGAUCAGAGCGAAGAGCAAACUGCUGCUGUUGGAAAAUCCAGACACGGUGGAGAUCUACAAGCUGGAUGAACCAACAGCUGGACCAGGAAAAGGUCACUUCUAUCUUCCCGCCAUCCCACCCAAAGCUUCCGGUCUGAGCUCCGUCAGGGGGGCUCUGACUCAAUCCUGCCCUUAUCUGUACGACAAGCGGCGAGGGUCGCUCUCGUCCG
rnacentral:lncRNA from 1 species